rnacentral:rRNA from 1 species
GACGUAGGGCGCGAGCGUUGUCCGGAUUUAUUGGGCGUAAAGAGCUCGUAGGCGGCUCGUCGCGUCGGCUGUGAAAACCUGGGGCUCAACCCCGGGCCUGCAGCCGAUACGGGCGAGCUAGAAUUCGGUAGGGGAGACGUGGAAUUCCUGGUGUAGCGGUGAAAUGCGCAGAUAUCAGGAGGAACACCGGUGGCGAAGGCGGGUCUCUGGGCCGAUAUUGACGCUGAGGAGCGAAAGCGUGGGGAGCGGACAGG